CUGGCGUGCUGUAGUCCAUGGGGUCGCAAAUAGUCCAACAAGACUGAGCGACUGAACUGAACUGAAUAUGCAUGUGGAAAAAUAUUCCUAUCUUAAGUGGAUGUAAGUUCAAUAUAUUUUCACAAUCUGAACUCAUCCAUGAAGCCAGCACCAGAGAAAGAGGAGAAUAUGCCCAUGUAAAGAAAAACUCAGACUGCCUCAUGAAUUGGGUAGAUGAAACGGCCAUGUAAGUCAGCUUGUCAAGAGAUUAUUCAUCACCGUUGGAGUGGCCAGAAAGAAAGAUCUCAUAGAGCAGAAGAAACUACAAAUGCAACUUCGUGAAUGACAGGCAUCUGAUUGGUAAAGAAGAUGGCAAGGUGUCCUGACCACCACUUAUGACAGGUUUUUUCCCCAUAAACUCCAAGUGCAAAUGUCUCCUGCUCACUGAAGUACACAGUCACCAAGUCCAACUUGCAGCCCUCAUGGUACCCUGCAGCUUAAUCAAGGUGAGGCUUAAUUGCUCUUCUCCUUGGUUUCAGGCUUACAUCACCAAAGCCUUUAGCUGUCACCUUCACAGCUGUACAUUCCAAGCCAGUGACUGCAUGCUCUGGGAAAGACAAGGUUACAGAGGGAGACUGCUACCUUCACUGCAUGCCACACAGACUCAUCACUUUCCUAUUCUGGACUGUGGACAAUAUUUGCAAUAGUAAUUGACAGAGAUAAAUGAAAUUUUAUGCUAAAGUGCCUUUGAGGGCUUUUUUUUUUUUUUUUCUGAAUGAAGAUGCUUUACACAUGUGGAUAUUUUCUUGGCUAUGAGCUUAACAAUAUGUGUUAUGACCUCUAUUUUCCCCUAAUCCCAAACCUAGCAGAGUUAGCUUUUUAAA